rnacentral:rRNA from 1 species
GACAGAGGGUGCAAGCGUUGUUCGGAAUUAUUGGGCGUAAAGGGCGCGUAGGCGGCCACCGCAAGUCGACUGUGAAAUCUCCGGGCUUAACCCGGAAAGGUCAGCCGAUACUGCGGGGCUAGAGUGCAGAAGGGGCAACUGGAAUUCUCGGUGUAGCGGUGAAAUGCGUAGAUAUCGAGAGGAACACCUGCGGCGAAGGCGGGUUGCUGGGCUGACACUGACGCUGAUGUGCGAAAGCUAGGGGAGCGAACGGG